rnacentral:rRNA from 1 species
GACGAACGCUGGCGGCAUGCCUAAUACAUGCAAGUCGAACGCUGAAGCACUCUGCUUGCAGAGUGCGGAUGAGUGGCGAACGGGUGAGUAACACGUGGGAAAUCUGCCUAUAAGAGGGGGAUAACAUUCGGAAACGGAUGCUAAUACCGCAUAUAUUCUUGGACCGCCUGGUCCUUGAAAGAAAGACGGCUUUGCUGUCGCUUAUAGAUGAUCCCGCGGCGUAUUAGUUAGUUGGUGGGGUAAAGGCCUACCAAGACAAUGAUACGUAGCCGACCUGAGAGGGUGAUCGGCCACACUGGGACUGAGACACGGCCAAGACUCCUACGGGAGGCAGCAGUAGGGAAUCUUCCACAAUGGGCGAAAGCCUGAUGGAGCAAUGCCGCGUGAAUGAAGAAGGUCUUCGGAUCGUAAAGUUCUGUUAUUAGAGAAGAACAAGUCAAGGAGUAACUGUCUUGACUUUGACGGUACCUAACCAGAAAGUCACGGCUAACUACGUG